AGUGAACGCUGGCGGUAGGCCUAACACAUGCAAGUCGAACGGCAGCACAGUAAGAGCUUGCUCUUACGGGUGGCGAGUGGCGGACGGGUGAGGAAUACAUCGGAAUCUACUUUUUCGUGGGGGAUAACGUAGGGAAACUUACGCUAAUACCGCAUACGACCUACGGGUGAAAGCAGGGGAUCUUCGGACCUUGCGCGAUUGAAUGAGCCGAUGUCGGAUUAGCUAGUUGGCGGGGUAAAGGCCCACCAAGGCGACGAUCCGUAGCUGGUCUGAGAGGAUGGUCUGCCACACUGGAACUGAGACACGGUCCAGACUCCUACGGGAGGCAGCAGUGGGGAAUAUUGGACAAUGGGCGCAAGCCUGAUCCAGCCAUACCGCGUGGGUGAAGAAGGCCUUCGGGUUGUAAAGCCCUUUUGUUGGGAAAGAAAAGCAGCAGGUUAAUACCCCGCUGUUCUGACGGUACCCAAAGAAUAAGCACCGGCUAACUUCGUG
rnacentral:rRNA from 1 species